rnacentral:rRNA from 1 species
UACGGAAGGGGCGAGCGUUGUUCGGAAUCAUUGGGCGUAAAGGGCGCGUAGGUGGUGCUGUAUGUCUCCCGUGAAAGCCCACGGCUCACCUGUGGGAGGUCGGGAGAAACUGCAGGACUUGAGGCUGGGAGGGGCUGGUGGAAUUCCCUGUGUAGCGGUGAAAUGCGUAGAGAUGGGGGAGAACACUCGUGGCGAGGGCGGCCAGCUAGACCAGUUCUGACACUGAGGCGCGACAGCGUGGGGAGCAAACAGG